AUGUAGUAAUAUGAGCCUUAACUAUUAGCAGUUCCAUCUGGGUCCAAUCCUUCACUUCCUUAGAUCUCAUAAAGUAAUUUUCGGCCGAGCACAGAGGAUGUAAAAUACUACCUUUCAGAACAUUAUGCUUUCUUUGCAGAAGCCUUAGCGACUUUUCAAGAUGCAAGGAAGCAGAGGAGGUCAGCUGUCACUAGGAGAUGAUGAUUAGAAUAAUGAAGUGUUCUCCAGUUCAUCUAUCCUCUCAGUUUACACAGGAAACAACAACAGGGAGGUGAUUUAGCAGUCUUCAGCAAAGCAGUACAGAUCUUGAGUCUGAGAUGCUCACACCCAUUAAACCACUAUAUUACCUAAGCUAUCUCAGAUCUCCAUCUUCCCAUGGAGGAGUGGAGUUCCUGGAGGGAAGUAGAUCUGCGUCUGGUCUGCAACCCAACAGAAAGUUGCAGGUUGCUGUGAUGACACCCUGUGUUUCCAGCACAGAGCUAAAAUGAAUAUUCUGAAACCUGAGUCAAACCAUUCUGCAAACCUGUAAGCGUUAAUUCCCGAAAUAAACACACUGAUUUUCUCCUCGACUUACCUCCUUUUAACAUGUCUCUAAGUGCUUAUGGAGUGUCCCUACCCCAAGGGUCCUUAUGCUGCAGGGAUUUUUGAUUGACAGAAAGGUGUAAUCCAGCUACCACAUUUAGUCCAUUUCCUCCAGAGUCUGAGUUUUAAAAUAAUGCAUCAAAAGCCACAGCUAUGGCUGACAAAACCAAGAGACCCACUGACUGCCAGAGGUACUUCAAGUCUACUAUCAGUUGCCAUUGCUAAUCCAUGAAAAUGUUUGCAUCCUGUCGAGCUAGGAAUUUGACUGAAAUGGCUUGUGGAACAUUCUUCUUUUCUGGAUUUCAUGUCGCCUCAUGCUUAGUAAAUAUUCUCUCUCUUCUUGAUACAAUCGGGUGGUUGCUGAGAGUCACUCCAGGAGCACAAUCUGGAUUUCAAGUCAAUUCAGUUGAGCGGGACUUAGCGUAAAAGUGCAGUGGCACCAGCAGAAGU